CGGAGGGUGCAAGCGUUAUCCGGAUUCACUGGGUUUAAAGGGUGCGUAGGUGGGCAAGUAAGUCAGUGGUGAAAUCUCCGGGCUUAACCCGGAAACUGCCAUUGAUACUAUUUGUCUUGAAUACUGUGGAGGUCAGCGGAAUAUGUCAUGUAGCGGUGAAAUGCUUAGAUAUGACAUAGAACACCAAUUGCGAAGGCAGCUGGCUACACAAAUAUUGACACUGAGGCACGAAAGCGUGGGGAUCAAACAGGAUUAGAUACCCUGGUAGUCCACGCCCUAAACUAUGGAUACUCGACAUUUGCGACAAACUGCAAGUGUCUGAGCGAAAGCAUUAAGUAUCCCACCUGGGAAGUACGAUCGCAAGAUUG
rnacentral:rRNA from 1 species